rnacentral:rRNA from 1 species
UCUUGGGUCGUAAACCUCUUUUCUCAGGGAAGAACACAAUGACGGUACCUGAGGAAUAAGCAUCGGCUAACUCCGUGCCAGCAGCCGCGGUAAUACGGAGGAUGCAAGCGUUAUCCGGAAUGAUUGGGCGUAAAGCGUCCGCAGGUGGCUGUGUGUGUCUGCUGUUAAAGAGUGAGGCUCAACCUCAUAAGAGCAGUGGAAACUACACGGCUAGAGUGCGUUCGGGGCAGAGGGAAUUCCUGGUGUAGCGGUGAAAUGCGUAGAGAUCAGGAAGAACACCGGUGGCGAAAGCGCUCUGCUAGGCCGCAACUGACACUGAGGGACGAAAGCUAGGGGAGCGAAUGGGAUUAGAUA